CCGGGCUGGGCGCUGCGGGGGAGGGAGGAGGUUGCGGAGGCCGGCGGGCGGGAACGGGGAGGAAUUCCAGGUUUCAGGCAAAGAAAGACGGCAGGACUGGGGAAAAGGGAUCCUGGACAGGAGACUCCGCAGGAGGAAGGAGGGGGCCGGUGUUGACCCAAAGUAUUUUCUCUCAUGCCUGGCCACUCUGCCCUGGACCCUCAACCCAGCCGAAUAUGACACAUCUCCAGAAACCCAGCAGGCGCAAGCCGCAGGGUUGGCCUUAAAAUCCUGCUUAAACAGGAGACCCUGGAGGCCUGCUUCAGUGCCACCAGCCUAACCGCCAGGGCUCAUCAAAGACGCUGCCCAGAUGCAUUGAACGUAAGCAAGAUCAGCAAAGGUUUAUCUCAACUUCAGACUCACUCCCAGAAACUCACUCUUGGGAGCUCUCUGUGGAAUUGGGCCCCCCUUCUUCUGGUAUUAUGUUUUCAAAACUGACAGGGAUAUGAAAGAAAAACUUAUCCAGGAAAGAAAAUUGGGUUGAACAUUUAACAUCUCAUUUAAGUCUUGCAAUAAUGGCUAUAUGUAUUUUUGCUAAAUAAAUCUUCUAUUAAUCUUU
rnacentral:lncRNA from 1 species